rnacentral:tRNA from 1 species
GUUUAUAUAGUUUAAUUAAAACAUUACAUUUUCAAUGUAAAAAUAAAAUUUUAUAUUUUUUUAAAUA